rnacentral:rRNA from 1 species
UACGAAGGGGGCUAGCGUUGCUCGGAAUUACUGGGCGUAAAGGGAGCGUAGGCGGACAUUUAAGUCAGGGGUGAAAUCCCGGGGGUCAACCUCGGAAUUGCCUUUGAUACUGGGUGUCUUGAGUAUGAGAGAGGUAUGUGGAACUCCGAGUGUAGAGGUGAAAUUCGUAGAUAUUCGGAAGAACACCAGUGGCGAAGGCGACAUACUGGCUCAUUACUGACGCUGAGGCUCGAAAGCGUGGGGAGCAAACAGG